rnacentral:lncRNA from 1 species
CCUAGGACAGAUCCUCUGCUAUUUUAUAUAGGACAUAGGAAUGUUGACGUGAGUGUGGACCAAGAGGUGGUUAUGAUGGAAGUCUGGGAAGGGAGUCAUAGUAUUAAAGUAGUUAAUUUUUACAAUCCAUGUGAAAAGUUAAGUAAGGAAGUAUUGGAAAAUAUAAGAGGUAACACAAAUCAGAAAGUAAUAUGGUGUGGUGAUUUCAAUGCCCAUAAUACACUAUGGGGGAGUAUUAAAACAGAUUAUAAUGGGCUGAUUGUGGAAGAAAUGUUAGAUUGGGGACGGUUAGUAUGUAUUAACAAUGGAUGUUUUACAAGAAUAGAUGUAACUCGUGGGUGUAAUUCAGCGUUAGAUAUCACUUUAGUGUCAGAAAAUCUAGCCAGAAAAUGUAAAUGGAAUGUAAGUAAACAAAGUACAAUGGGAAGUGAUCACUAUCCAAUAUGGUGUAAAAUUGGUGUGGACAUCAUACAAACCUUGGUGGAGAGAAUUCCAAGAUGGAAAUUUAAUGCAGCCAACUGGGAGCUUUUUAAAGAAUUGUGUCAUAACAAGAUGUGUGAAAUUGAAGAUGGUAUUGAAAGUAUCGAAGAGUUAAGUAAGAAAAUAAGUGAAGUGUUAAGAAAUACGGCAGAAGAAGUAAUUGGCAAAAAGAAAACUAUAAAUAGUAAAAAAGCAGUCCCGUGGUGGAAUAACGAGUGUAGUAAGGCAAUUAGGGAAAGAAAUAAAGCGAUGAAGAAAGCUAGAAAAUAUGUAUUGUUUAGUGAGUACAUUAACUUUAAGAGAGCACAGGCAAACGUGAGGAGGGAGGUAAGAAAAGCAAAAAGAAAUUACUGGAGAGAAUUCUGUAAUAGAAUUGGGGAAGAAAUUGAAAUCAAUGAAGUUUGGAAUAUGAUUAGGAAGAUGGGAGGGAUUCAGAGAAAUAACAACAUUCCAGUUUUAGUAAAUAAUGGGAAAAUAGCAAUAAAAGACAGUGACAAAGCAGAGAUGGUUAGUGGAAGCAUUCGUAAAGGUGCACAAUAAUGGUAAUAUCUCAGAUAAUAUG